rnacentral:rRNA from 1 species
UAGCUUGAUCCUGGCUCAGGAUGAACGCUGGCGGUAUGCUUAACACAUGCAAGUCGAACGGAACCAUACGUGGUUUAGUGGCGGACGGGUGAGUAACGCGUGAGAAUCUGCCCAUAGGUUGGGGACAACCACUGGAAACGGUGGCUAAUACCGAAUAAGCCGAGAGGUGAAAGAUUAAUUGCCUAAGGAAGAGCUCGCGUCUGAUUAGCUAGUUGGUGGGGUAAAGGCCUACCAAGGCACCGAUCAGUAACUGGUCUGAGAGGAUGGCCAGUCACACUGGGACUGAGACACGGCCCAGACUCCUACGGGAGGCAGCAGUGGGGAAUUUUCCGCAAUGGGCGAAAGCCUGACGGAGCAAUACCGCGUGGGGGAGGAAGGCUCUUGGGUCGUAAACCUCUUUUCUCAGGGAAGAACAAAAUGACGGUACCUGAGGAAUCAGCAUCGGCUAACUCCGUGCCAGCAGCCGCGGUAAUACGGAGGAUGCAAGCGUUAUCCGGAAUGAUUGGGCGUAAAGCGUCCGCAGGUGGCAAUACAAGUCUGCUGUCAAAGGUCAAGGCUCAACUUUGGACAGGCAGUGGAAACUGUAUAGCUAGAGUAUGGUGGGGGCAGAGGGAAUUCCCAGUGUAGCGGUGAAAUGCGUAGAGAUUGGGAAGAACACCAGUGGCGAAAGCGCUCUGCUAGGCCAAAACUGACACUCAGGGACGAAAGCUAGGGGAGCGAA